rnacentral:rRNA from 1 species
GAUGAACGCUGGCGGCGCGCCUAACACAUGCAAGUCGAACGAUUAAAGCACCUUCGGGUGUGUAUAAAGUGGCGAACGGCUGAGUAACACGUGGGCAACCUGCCUUUUACUUUGGGAUAGCCUCGGGAAACCGAGGAUAAUACCGAAUACUUUGUAUGUAUCGCAUGGUAUAUACAAGAAAGCUUUUGCGGUAAAAGAUGGGCCCGCGGCCUGUUAGCUUGUUGGUGAGGUAACGGCUCACCAAGGCAAUGAUGGGUAGCCGGGUUGAGAGACCGACCGGCCAGAUUGGGACUGAGACACGGCCCAGACUCCUACGGGAGGCAGCAGUGGGGAAUCUUGCGCAAUGGGGGAAACCCUGACGCAGCGACGCCGCGUGCGGGAUGAAGGCCUUCGGGUUGUAAACCGCUUUCAGCAGGGACGAGGCCUUAUGGUGACGGUACCUGCAGAAGAAGCUCCGGCUAAAUACGUGCCGGCAGCCGCGGUAAUACGUAUGGAGCAAGCGUUAUCCGGAUUCAUUGGGCGUAAAGCGCUCGUAGGCGGUCUGUUAGGUCGGCAAGUUAAAUCCGGGGGGCUCAACCCCCGUCCGCUUCCGAUACCGGCAGACUUGAGUUUGGUAGGGGAAGGUGGAAUUCUU